rnacentral:rRNA from 1 species
UACGAGGGGGGCAAGCGUUGUUCGGAAUUAUUGGGCGUAAAGGGCGCGUAGGCGGUGCGGUAAGUCAGGGGUGAAAUCCUGGAGCUCAACUCCAGAACUGCCUUUGAUACUGGUAAGCUCGAGUCCGGGAGAGGUGAGUGGAACUGCGAGUGUAGAGGUGAAAUUCGUAGAUAUUCGCAAGAACACCAGUGGCGAAGGCGGCUCACUGGCCCGGUACUGACGCUGAGGUGCGAAAGCGUGGGGAGCAAACAGG